GGUGCAACCAGGUCACAGUCAGACAUUUUCCUCAAAUCUCACUCGAAAGCAUCAACACCCCAAAGAGAAGCCAUGAAGCCAGUGAUCGUGCUGUACGUUGCGCUGAUGAUGAUUGCACUGGUGUGCACAACUGUUCCAGAUGCUAAUGCUGUAGACCCCGGAGCAUGUCUCGCAAGAUGUGCCACGAAAUGUCGAAGUAAUGAACAUUAUUACCGCGAGGGAUGGUGUGGUGGUGGAAAACGGUAAGCAUAAAUCUAUAGACUGGUAUUCAUCCAUAGACAUCUUUGGUCCUUUUACUGUGUGCAUGUGACUUGUGGCAUGAAAUUAUAUUUCUUUUGUCAGCUGCUGUGUUCCCCGGACACAUCUGUGAAGGAAGACUGUGUGGAUCAAGCAUCAUGCAUUAUUGUUUUUUCUUCUUCUUCCAUUUAAGUUUAGUUAAAAGCAGUCAGACCCUUACACAAGACAUGGAUUCAUCAUGAUUUGUAUUUAAGCCUGUUUGAUGCCAGUUUGAAUAAAAUCAAAUUUCACAACUAUGAGUAUCUGUGA
rnacentral:lncRNA from 1 species